rnacentral:rRNA from 1 species
UACGAAGGGUGCAAGCGUUACUCGGAAUUACUGGGCGUAAAGCGUGCGUAGGUGGUUCGUUAAGUCUGAUGUGAAAGCCCUGGGCUCAACCUGGGAAUGGCAUUGGAAACUGGCGACCUAGAGUGCGGUAGAGGGUAGUGGAAUUCCCGGUGUAGCAGUGAAAUGCGUAGAGAUCGGGAGGAACAUCCGUGGCGAAGGCGACUACCUGGACAGGUACUGACACUCAAUUGCGAAAGCGUGGGGAGCAAACAGG